UGGGGAAUCUUGGACAAUGGGGGCAACCCUGAUCCAGCGAUGCCGCGUGAGUGAAGAAGGUCUUCGGAUCGUAAAGCUCUUUAGGCUGGGAAGAAGGUUGUUGGAGGAAAUGCCAGCAAUUUGACUGUACCAGCAGAAUAAGCACCGGCAAACUCUGU
rnacentral:rRNA from 1 species